GAUGAACGCUGGCGGCGUGCCUAAUACAUGCAAGUCGAGCGAACAGACGAGGAGCUUGCUCCUUCGACGUUAGCGGCGGACGGGUGAGUAACACGUAGGUAACCUACCUAUAAGACUGGGAUAACUUCGGGAAACCGGAGCUAAUACCGGAUAAUAUUUCGAACCGCAUGGUUCGAUAGUGAAAGAUGGCUUUGCUAUCACUUAUAGAUGGACCUGCGCCGUAUUAGCUAGUUGGUAAGGUAAGGGCUUACCAAGGCAACGAUACGUAGCCGACCUGAGAGGGUGAUCGGCCACACUGGAACUGGGACAGGGUCCAUACUCCUACGGGAGGCAGCAGUAGGGAAUCUUCCGCAAUGGGCGAAAGCCUGACGGAGCAGCGCCGCGUGAGUGAUGAAGGCCUUCGGAUCGUAAAACUCGGUUAUUAGGGAAGAACAAACUUGUAAGUAACUGUGCACGGCUUGACGGUACCUAAUCAGAAAGCCACGGCUAACUACGUG
rnacentral:rRNA from 1 species